rnacentral:rRNA from 1 species
ACCUUUUGUAUAAUGGGUCAGCGACUUAUAUUCUGUAGCAAGGUUAACCGAAUAGGGGAGCCGAAGGGAAACCGAGUCUUAACUGGGCGUUAAGUUGCAGGGUAUAGACCCGAAACCCGGUGAUCUAGCCAUGGGCAGGUUGAAGGUUGGGUAACACUAACUGGAGGACCGAACCGACUAAUGUUGAAAAAUUAGCGGAUGACUUGUGGCUGGGGGUGAAAGGCCAAUCAAACCGGGAGAUAGCUGGUUCUCCCCGAAAGCUAUUUAGGUAGCGCCUCGUGAAUUCAUCUCCGGGGGUAGAGCACUGUUUCGGCAAGGGGGUCAUCCCGACUUACCAACCCGAUGCAAACUGCGAAUACCGGAGAAUGUUAUCACGGGAGACACACGGCGGGUGCUAACGUCCGUCGUGAAGAGGGAAACAACCCAGACCGCCAGCUAAGGUCCCAAAGUCAUGGUUAAGUGGGAAACGAUGUGGGAAGGCCCAGACAGCCAGGAUGUUGGCUUAGAAGCAGCCAUCAUUUAAAGAAAGCGUAAUAGCUCACUGGUCGAGUCGGCCUGCGCGGAAGAUGUAACGGGGCUAAACCAUGCACCGAAGCUGCGGCAGCGACGCUUAUGCGUUGUUGGGUAGG